UACGGAGGGGACUAGCGUUGUUCGGAAUUACUGGGCGUAAAGCGCACGUAGGCGGCUUUGUAAGUCAGGUGUGAAAUCCCGGGGCUCAACCUCGGAACUGCCUUUGAUACUGCAAAUCUCGAGUCCGGAAGAGGUGAGUGGAAUUCCUAGUGUAGAGGUGAAAUUCGUAGAUAUUAGGAAGAACACCAGUGGCGAAGGCGGCUCACUGGUCCGGUACUGACGCUGAGGUGCGAAAGCGUGGGGAGCAAACAGG
rnacentral:rRNA from 1 species